rfam:Stentor coeruleus isolate WM001 SteCoe_contig_561, whole genome shotgun sequence.
GGGCACGUGGCGCAACGGUAGCGCGUCUGACUCCAAAUCAGAAGGUUGAGGGUUCAAAUCCCUUCGAGCUCA